UACGUAGGCAGCGAGCGUUGUUCGGAAUUACUGGGCGUAAAGAGUGUGUAGGCGGUGCUCUAAGUUCGGUGUGAAAUCUCCUGGCUCAACUGGGAGGGUGCGCCGGAAACUGGAGUGCUUGAGCGUGGGAGAGGAAAGCGGAAUUCCUGGUGUAGCGGUGAAAUGCGUAGAUAUCAGGAGGAACACCCGUAGCGAAGGCGGCACUCUGGGCCGAUACUGACACUGAGGAGCGAAAGCGUGGGGAGCGAACAGG
rnacentral:rRNA from 1 species